CGCCCGUUUCACAGACGCCGCACACGCGCAAGCGAACAAACCCGAGAUAAGUCCCUCGAUGACAAACCACGCUCAGCGAGUAACAGCCCCGGCCGAGUUGCUGUUCGCGUCGGGCAUUUGAAGUCGCACGUUAAACACCUGCCGUCGAUAUUAAACGUGCUAAAUUAAUCAAGCGUUCCGCUAGUAAAUAAACAAGCGAGCAGGGAAGCUUGUUUGAGCUUGCUCCCUCCCCCAGCGUCACUCUAUAGGACACUGUGCCAGCAGCUGAAGAUCACGGCCGGCCCCUACACCUCCUGCAACCAAUGGAGCUUGAGCAGCUUAACCCAACGAGAAAAACACAGCACAAGAAAACAGUUCAACCGCGCUUAAAUAUAGUUUAUAUUGCUACGUUGACUUUUUAUUCCAACCCUUUAUGGGAUGAUCGAGUCCUCACAGGACCUGUAAUCCUCUAGAGAUGUUGUUUUUCCAGAAACGUUCUUUUAACCUGCUAUUCAAGUCACUUCUUGUUGAUGAACUCACUCGUACGAUGGAAAACACUUGCACGGUACCCUCAGGACAACGUCAGGUUUCAUGAGCAGAUCUCCACUAUUUUGGUUGCGUCCUCACAACCGAGCGCUACAGCGUGCUGGAUCUGACAGUUAAACACAGGAAUUACUUACAGCAUGUGCCUGAAUUAGUCAGUACAAGUUCAUUAGUGUGGAAAAAAGGCAAUUAAAAAAAAAAAAAAGAUUACAUUGUAAUCUGCUAAUGUACAAGACGGCAGUUCUAAGAGCUGAAGAACACAUGAAGCAUGAGUUUGGAUGGUUUCAAAGCCACGGUGGCGUUUGACAGAUGUGAUAUAGACAGAGGAAGUGCACAAUUAAGUUGUUAGGCUCCCUUUAACAGCAAUAUAUCAUUAAGACAGGUAUUAAAUACAUACAGGGGGUCAUUUAAUAGAAUACUGUCCAGAAACAUGAGAUACUGUCCAAACAAAAGGACAACCAAAAAAAAAAAAAAGAUUAUACAGAUUGAAGUCCCAUAGGAAGAGGAUGUCAGACUCGUGUGUGUGCGUGCGUGCGUGCGUGACGUGACGUGUGUGUGUGUGUGUGCGUUUUUGCUCCCCCAUGUGCCUUACCAUGCCCAUAUUUUGGCCCUUCCUGUUCCUGUCCCCAUUAUGUUAAUUUGAUUCCAGGUGUUCCGCGUUUAUUUCUACUGAUCCCUGAGUUGUCUCGUCAUCCCCUCGUCUUGUCAUGUGC
rnacentral:lncRNA from 1 species